CCCGCCUCUCAGCGGCCGGGCCGGAGGAAGGAGGCGGUGGCUGGGGGCGGGCUCGUCCAACGCGGCUGACGCUGACCCCGAGUCCCCGCGCAGCGGAGAGCUGGAGGCAAUACUUGGGGGCAACCCCACCUCCACCAUGGACACUUCAGAGCCCAGUUCAACAAGGCAGGAGGAGGAGGAGGAAAGUGGGAGUGAGGGUGCUGAGGAGGAGGGAGACACCCCGGCAUCCCUAGAUGCAUGCAGCCAGGAGCUGUUCUCAAGCCAGAAGGAAGGGUGAAAUGCUGGUCAAGAUCUUGGUGUGCAGUAUCGGUCAUGAUGAAGAGCCGGCUACCUCUUGUUCUCCUUGCGUGCGGCUCCUUUAACCCCAUCACAAACAUGCACAUGCGUUUAUUUGAGCUGGCUAGAGAUCACCUUCAUCAAACAGGAAGGUACCAGGUGAUUGAAGGUAUCAUUUCUCCAGUCAGUGAUAACUAUGGAAAGAGAGGCUUGGUUUCAGCAAGGCACCGGAUAGCAAUGGCUCAACUUGCACUGGAGACAUCGGACUGGAUUAGAGUGGAUCCAUGGGAGAGUGAACAGGAGAAAUGGACUGAGACUGUAAAGGUGCUGAGGCACCAUUAUAAUGAGUCGCUCAGAUCGCUCCAGUUCAGGAAGGAACUCAUGAGAAACAAUUGGCCUAUAGAAAGAGCUACUGAGGAUUUCCUUUCUUCAUUGGACCCAGUUUCCCCAGAGUUAAAGCUGCUUUGCGGAGCUGACAUUCUGAAGACGUUUAGUACACCUAAUCUCUGGAAGGAGGAGCAUAUUAAAGAAAUAGUAGAAAAGUUUGGUUUGGUGUGUAUUAGCCGUGCUGGCUCUGACCCUGUUCAGUACAUCAGUGAAUCAGAACUUCUGACUCGAUUCCAGCACAAUAUCCACCUGGUCACAGAAUGGAUUCAGAAUGAAAUCAGUGCCACGCAUAUACGACAUGCUUUAUGCAAAGGACUAAGUGUGAAGUACCUCAUUCCAGAUUCUGUCAUUUCCUAUAUUAAGCACUAUAAUAUCUACACAGAAGAGAGUGAGAGGGAAAAAUAAAGGGGAUUUAACUUCAGCCUCUUAAACUACACAACACAAUGAUAAACACACUAAAUGAUUGACGUCUUUAUUCCACCAAAUGGGGAGAACACAAUGGCAUUUAUUUUUGGAAAAUCCCUGCAAAGGCACAAUCUUUGUGUAUGGAGGAAAGUGAAGUAGGUUGUGGGGAGAUGCAACUAGCUAUACUUCUGAACAUUUGUAGAGUAAUUCAGAAAAGUUUUUGUAUUAUAUUACUACUGAGGUCAUGCUUUCCUAAGCUGUUAUGUGCAAAGGGCUAUCAGUUUUAAGAUCUCCACUAAGAGUUAAUUUACAUUACAUUUCUUCUAUUUUUAACACAAAUAUUAAAAUCUUUAGUAAUUGUUGAGGGAUUCUUGUGAUGACUUAAAUGACCUCAAGGGCUGUAGUUAGUGCUUUCCCGUAUUAUAAUCUUCUAAUACCAGGAACUGUUUCAGUGGUCUUGGCCAUUCGCAGAUAGUGAGAGUAAAAUUAUUGUCAUUUUCCUUCUCAGGAAUAGUUUCAAUAAACUGCUAAAAUGUACAUAGUUAUUACCACAUUUCUACUUUAUAGGAUCCUGAAAAAAAUUAUUUCACUGUAUUACUUAAUACCGUUCAGUUUUGUGCGUAUAUAUGUUGGCAGAUCAGAAAUAAAACCCUGAUUCAGGAAAGCACUUAGGCAUGUGCUUAAAUCCCAUUAUUUUCAAUCCAGCUCAUAAUGAGACCUUUAAAGGGGGUUCUUUGCUUUGCUCUUAGUCCUAUAUGCUAGUCCAGUCCCCUGGAGUAGUUUAGAGCAACUAGCUGUCAAAACCCUGAAGCUGUUGAUAUGGCAGCCCAGCUAUAAGGGAGCCCCAGCCAUGCCCCCUAUGUCAACAUCAAGAAGAGUGAGCAGCACUGGAGAUUCUACACUCUCUUUCCUUGCAUUCAGACAGCAGACGUGAAGAUGGAGAAACUGCAAGGCAAACUGCACGUAGGACACUGAGCGGGAGCUGAGCAGAGUGAUAAUCCACUUCCAGUCACAAGGCUAAUGGGAAGUGUCUGAACAUGGUUUGCAUUCCCUUAACUAACAGCACACUCUGAUUAAUAAAGACAUGCAGCACUGAUGAAGACAUAAGAUAACUGGAAUUGGCCAUUACUCCCUAAUAAUAACCUCUGCUGAAUAAUGACUGGCUUUUCCUGAGCCAUCAAUUCACCAACCAGUCAAUAUCUGCUGGCAUCACCCCUCGCUUGAAGAUGACUGUAUAAUCAUGGCUUAUUACUAAACUCUGAAACAGAACACACAAUUACUUUCACUGGUAGAGCUUGUGUGAUCCUCUUCUGAGGGGAAGAGAUUAAAAAAACCACUGAAAAUAUUCUCAAAUACUCCAAACAAACAGGAUUUCAAUUGUCUGCAGAAGCCACCCAAUGUGUCCACUACAGCCAGCCACUUAUUGUAAUAUCCAUCCAUAUGCCUAAACCAGCCAUCUUAUUUUCUAAGCAGCAUAGAAGGGGAGGAGUAAUGUGGAUAAAAUGGACACCCGGAUAAUCAGUGGCCUUACAGCCAUUGUAUUGAAGGUGAAUGUUCCAUUCCAUUUAAAUGAAGCCAUCCUGCUGUCAUUAUAAAUCUAAAAGGUUCAGCUUUGUGGAAGGAUUUAAUGGUAACCCUUCAGCGGUAAUCGGAUUAGAGGGGCUCAUAUAACUGCAUGGUCUGAAGAACAGAUAAAAGAAACCAGAGUUGAAACUCGCCACAGAGGACAGGCAUUGAGCUGUGUGGUGCAGAAUCAACUCGCUGUUCUGAGGCUUUGGCUAUCAUAUACCCCAGAAAUGCCUGCAAAUUUCAAUGGUUACUGGAAAAUGCUUAGCAAUGACAAUUUUGAGGAGUAUCUGAA